rnacentral:rRNA from 1 species
UACGUAGGGGGCUAGCGUUAUCCGGAACUACUGGGCGUAAAGGGUGCGUAGGUGGUUUCUUAAGUCAGAGGUGAAAGGCUACGGCUCAACCGUAGUAAGCCUUUGAAACUGGGAAACUUGAGUGCAGGAGAGGAGAGUGGAAUUCCUAGUGUAGCGGUGAAAUGCGUAGAGAUCGGGAGGAACACCAGUGGCGAAGGCGGGUAGCUGGACCGCAACUGACGCUGAGGCGCGAAAGUGUGGGGAGCAAACAGGAUUAGAUACCCUGGUAGUCCCUGAGCGGG